CUUGACCGACCCGAGCCACAACGGCUUGCCCUCGGGUCGGUCCUGCCCGUACGUCGCCAGCAGCGCCUGCGCCUC
rfam:Actinoplanes sp. N902-109, complete genome.